rnacentral:rRNA from 1 species
AGUGAACGCUGGCGGUAGGCCUAACACAUGCAAGUCGAACGGCAGCACAGUAAGAGCUUGCUCUUACGGGUGGCGAGUGGCGGACGGGUGAGGAAUACAUCGGAAUCUACUUUUUCGUGGGGGAUAACGUAGGGAAACUUACGCUAAUACCGCAUACGACCUACGGGUGAAAGCAGUGGAUCUUCGGACCUUGCGCGAUUGAAUGAGCCGAUGUCGGAUUAGCUAGUUGGCGGGGUAAAGGCCCACCAAGGCGACGAUCCGUAGCUGGUGUGAGAGGAUGAUCAGCGACACGGGAACUGAGACACGGUCCAGGGUACUACGGGAGGCAGCAGUGGGGAAUAUUGGACAAUGGGCGCAAGCCUGAUCCAGCCAUACCGCGUGGGUGAAGAAGGCCUUCGGGUUGUAAAGCCCUUUUGUUGGGAAAGAAAAGCAGCAGGUUAAUACCCCGCUGUUCUGACGGUACCCAAAGAAUAAGCACCGGCUAACUUCGUG